AUGUGUGUGUAUGUAUUAAAUCAUGUUACAAGAUAAGAUAAUCCAUGAUGUAAGAAGACAUCAUGAGAUAAUCUACAAUGUUGAGGGGAUAAUUUACAAUGUCGACGCGGAAAGCAUCAUGUCCGAGUAAUCCGUCAUUGGAAGAAUGUAAAUAGGCAAAUGCUAUGCUAUCAAGAUAUUUGACAAAUUUAUGCAACUUUGACAACAUAGAAACAAACCAUACAAGCAUUUAUUUUGGCAACAGAAACAAACUACAAGCAUUUUUUCCUUCACUACUUUUAUUUCGAAUUUUUAUCGAGAUUCAGGAUUAAUUUCGACUACGUUAGAGAAAUGAAUGCAGCGAUAUAACGGAUAUAAAUGAAAUUAAGGCUCUUAAAUAUAAAGAAUGAUUUUGGAAUUUGCUGAAUGAUUGAAAUCAUUUCUCUCCGUGACCGAAAAUGGAAACUUUUACGAGAGUGAAAGUUAUGUCGUCUACAAAAUGAAUUUGACAUUUAAUAUAUUAUAUCGGAAAUGCAGAAUAAGAUGCACAAGGAGCGGUCUGAAUGUGAGCGAGUUAUCAUGAAUGUCGUUGAGAUUGGAGAACGUUUCUCUCAGGCUAUAGCAAUUAUUUAAGUAUAUCAGUCGUAGGGAGAAUGAUUAAUCUAUAGAUCUAUACAUCGAUUCAAUAUAUAGAUAACUAUCAGAGACCCUAAGUUCAAUGUUAAACUUGUUUACACAUAUCUUAAUCGAUGAUCUUUAUCGUUUGGAAUGUAAAGUUAAUAUAACGAUAUUAAUGCUCGCAAUGAUCCCAGAUAGCACACAAAGUUCAAAAAGAAUUCAUUCAUUUAUUCAAUCGUAUGUCGAUCAAUUUUGAGUUCAUUUUCAGAUGCAAAAAGAAUUUUUUUCAGAAUUUUUAGAAUUUUGCAUCUGAAAAUGAAAUCAGAAUUGAUGACAUAUGAUUACUUUUUGUGCUAUCUGGGGUGGAUGUUCAACAAUCCUUAUGCGACUUGAAAGAAGUUCGUUGACGUAAAAAAAAUUCGUUAAGCAUGAAAGGAAAAAAUUUAAGAUUUCAAGAGCGAUUUGAAUAAUCUCAUUGAAAACUUGACAAGCUUUUCGAUCAAAUUAUACAAAUUGGAAUAUUUGCUAUCAUUUGUAAAAAUAAGAAUCGCCAGUCACUUGUCUCUGUA